GACGAACGCUGGCGGCGUGCCUAAUACAUGCAAGUCGAACGCAGUGGGGACGGGUGAGUAACACGUGGGUAACCUCCCAUCAGAGGGGAUAACACUUGGAAACAGGUGCUAAACCGCUACUGAUGGAUGGACCCGCGGUGCAUUAGCUAGUUGGGGGGGUAACGGCUCACCAAGGCAACGAUGCAUAGCCGACCUGAGAGGGUGAGCGGCCACUCUGGGACUGAGACACGGUCCAGACGCCUACGGGAGGCAGCAGUAGGGAAUCUUGUGCAAUGGACGAAAGCCUGACCGAGCAACGCCGCGUGAGGGAAGAAGGUUUUCGGAUCGUAAAACUAUGUUGUUAGAGAAGCGGUAUCUAACCAGAAAGCCACGGCUAACUACGUGCCAGCCGCCGCGGUAAUUC
rnacentral:rRNA from 1 species